ACGCAUAAAGUUCCCCGCCUGGGGAGUACGGUCGCAAGACUAAAACUCAAAGGAAUUGACGGGGGCCCGCACAAGCGGCGGAGCAUGCGGAUUAAUUCGAUGCAACGCGAAGAACCUUACCAAGGCUUGACAUAUAGAGGAAACGUGCAGUGAUGUACGCCCCGCAAGGUCUCUAUACAGGUGGUGCAUGGUUGUCGUCAGCUCGUGUCGUGAGAUGUUGGGUUAAGUCCCGCAACGAGCGCAACCCUCGUCCUAUGUUGCCAGCACGUAAUGGUGGGAACUCAUGGGAGACUGCCGGGGUCAACUCGGAGGAAGGUGGGGAUGACGUCAAAUCAUCAUGCCCCUUACGUCUUGGGCUUCACGCAUGCUACAAUGGCCGGUACAAAGGGUUGCGAUACCGCAAGGUGGAGCUAAUCCCAAAAAGCCGGUCUCAGUUCGGAUUAGGGUCUGCAACUCGACCCUAUGAAGUUGGAGUCGCUAGUAAUCGCAGAUCAGCAACGCUGCGGUGAAUACGUUCCCGGGCAUUGUACACACCGCCCGUCAAGUC
rnacentral:rRNA from 1 species